ACACAUGCAAGUCGAGGGGCAGCACGAGGUAGCAAUACUUUGGUGGCGACCGGCGCACGGGUGCGUAACGCGUAUGCAACCCACCUUUAACAGGGGCAUAACACUGAGAAAUUGGUACUAAUUCCCCAUAACAUUCGAGAAGGCAUCUUCUUGGGUUAAAAACUCCGGUGGUUAAAGAUGGGCAUGCGUUGUAUUAGCUAGUUGGUGAGGUAACGGCUCACCAAGGCAACGAUACAUAGGGGGACUGAGAGGUUAACCCCCCACAUUGGUACUGAGACACGGACCAAACUCCUACGGGAGGCAGCAGUGAGGAAUAUUGGUCAAUGGACGCAAGUCUGGACCAGCCAUGCCGCGUGCAGGAAGACGGCUCUAUGAGUUGUAAACUGCUUUUGUACUAGGGUAAACGCUUCUACGUGUAGGAGCCUGAAAGUAUAGUACGAAUAAGGAUCGGCUAACUCCGUGCCAGCAGCCGCGGUAAUCCGGAGGAUCCAAGCGUUAUCCGGAUUUAUUGGGUUUAAAGGGUGCGUAGGCGGUUUGAUAAGUUAGAGGUGAAAUACCGGGGCUCAACUCCGGAACUGCCUCUAAUACUGUUGAACUAGAGAGUAGUUGCGGUAGGCGGAAUGUAUGGUGUAGCGGUGAAAUGCUUAGAGAUCAUACAGAACACCGAUUGCGAAGGCAGCUUACCAAACUAUAUCUGACGUUGAGGCACGAAAGCGUGGGGAGCAAAC
rnacentral:rRNA from 1 species